rnacentral:rRNA from 1 species
GAUGAACGCUGGCGGCGUGCCUAAUACAUGCAAGUCGAGCGAACAGACGAGGAGCUUGCUCCUCUGACGUUAGCGGCGGACGGGUGAGUAACACGUGGAUAACCUACCUAUAAGACUGGGAUAACUUCGGGAAACCGGAGCUAAUACCGGAUAAUAUAUUGAACCGCAUGGUUCAAUAGUGAAAGACAGUUUUGCUGUCACUUAUAGAUGGAUCCGCGCCGCAUUAGCUAGUUGGUAAGGUAACGGCUUACCAAGGCAACGAUGCGUAGCCGACCUGAGAGGGUGAUCGGCCACACUGGAACUGAGACACGGUCCAGACUCCUACGGGAGGCAGCAGUAGGGAAUCUUCCGCAAUGGGCGAAAGCCUGACGGAGCAACGCCGCGUGAGUGAUGAAGGUCUUCGGAUCGUAAAACUCUGUUAUUAGGGAAGAACAAAUGUGUAAGUAACGAUGCACGUCUUGACGGGACCUAAUCAGAAAGCCACGGCGAACUACGU